ACUCCUACGGGAGGCAGCAGUGGGGAAUAUUGCGCAAUGGGCGAAAGCCUGACGCAGCCAUGCCGCGUGUGUGAAGAAGGCCUUCGGGUUGUAAAGCACUUUCAAUUGGGAAGAAAAAGCUGCUGCCUAAUAAAGCACAGCUGUGACAUACCUUAGAAGAAGCACCGGCUAACUCUGCCAGCAGCCGCGGUAAUACGGAGGGUGCGAGCGUUAAUCGGAAUUACUGGGCGUAAAAGCGCGCGUAGGCGGUUUGCUAAAGUCAGCUGUGAAAGCCCCGGGCUCAACCUGGGAAUUGCAGUGAUACUGGCCGACUAGAGUAUG
rnacentral:rRNA from 1 species